GUGGGGCAGCCGUGGGGCAGCCGUGGGGCGGCUGUGGGGUUACUUCUGGGCCGGGAUCAUGUCGUCUAUGGGCUGGUUCUGCUCCAGCUUCUUCUCCAUCUCCACCAUGAGCUUGACGCCGUCCACCACCAUCUGCACCUGCUCCACCUCCGAGAAGCCCAGCCGGUCGGCGUUGGAGAUGUCAAAGACGGCGCCCACCGCCGCCGUAUCCACCCCGCCGGUGCCCCGUUUCUGCAGGCGCAGCCUAUGGAGGAUCUCCUCGAAUUUGGGGUGCUGGCUGAGUUUGGGGAGCUUCACGUGGACCCCCCCCCGCAGCCCCGUGCCCAAAUUGGAGGGGCACGUCAGGAUGUAACCCAGGUGCUCCGUCCACAUGAAGGGGUGCCCGGCCUUCUUGAAGAUCUCCUCGAUCUUCUUGAGGCCGACGCAGAAGCGCCGGAAGACCUCCUUCAUAUUUCCUCCCUUCUCCAUGGAGAUGACCCUCAGGUGGUCCUCCUCAUUCACCCACACCAGGAACGUCUUGUUGUCGUUGUGCCAGAUGCCCCUGGCGUCGGGCCAAUCUCGGGCCAUCCCGGAUGCGAGCAGCAGUGGGGAGACGGGUUUAUCGAACAGGAAGUGGUCGUCGAUCAGCUGCUGCUGCUCCUGCUCCGUCAUGGCCUUCAGAGGGUAAUAGCGGCCCUUGAACUCCCCCUCCAGGCUGUUCAGGGCUUCCACGGACAGCUUCUCGACGGCGCGCCGCUCCCCACGGCUGCAGUGUGGGGGCAGGGAGUACCCCUUAAUGCUUCUCCCCGUGCGCACGCGGCUGCUCAGCACGUAUUUGGGGUCCAGGUCGUCACCCCCCUUGAGGUUCUCGUGGUUGAGGUCGGUGCGGUGCUUAUCGGUGGGUUUGUACCCCCCGUGGCGGUCCUGGAUGACGGGGUCGAAGAGAUCCUUGAACACCUCGUAGGACUCCUCGUCCCCCGCCACGCAGCCCACCGUCAUGAUGAAUGGGUGACCGGGGUUAUCGACCCCGGUUUGGAUGACGUCGUCGAGGGUGAAUCCGCUCGGGGUCUCCUUAUCCCGGAGGCGUUUGUAGAGCUCCGGGGUGAGGACUUUGGCCAUGUGGUUGUUGUGCUUCGAGAGGUCCGGGAAUUCCUCCUCGGCUGAGAACUUCAGCUUGUGUUUGUUGUGGGUGCUGCUGAACGGCAUGGCCGGCGGCGGGGGGGGCUGCGUUCAAACGAGACGGAACAGCGGCGGAGCGGC
rnacentral:misc_RNA from 1 species